rnacentral:rRNA from 1 species
UACGUAGGGGGCAAGCGUUGUCCGGAUUUAUUGGGCGUAAAGAGCGUGUAGGCGGUUUGUCGCGUCUGCUGUGAAAACCCGAGGCUCAACCUCGGGCCUGCAGUGGGUACGGGCAGACUAGAGUGCGGUAGGGGAGAUUGGAAUUCCUGGUGUAGCGGUGGAAUGCGCAGAUAUCAGGAGGAACACCGAUGGCGAAGGCAGAUCUCUGGGCCGUAACUGACGCUGAGGAGCGAAAGCAUGGGGAGCGAACAGG